rnacentral:rRNA from 1 species
AAUCAACGCUGGCGGCGCGCUUAACACAUGCAAGUCGAACGAGAAAGAGGAGCGAUCCUUGAGUAAAGUGGCGUACUGGUGAGUAACACGUGGGUAUCUACCUCCUGGUGGGGAAUAACCUGGGGAAACCUGGGCUAAUACCGCAUAAGUUCGCGAGAAGAAAGGCGUAAGUCGCCGGGAGAGGAGUCCGCGGUCGAUUAGGUAGUUGGCGGGGUAAGAGCCACCAAGCCAAAGAAUCGAUAGCCGGCCUGAGAGGGCACACGGCCACACUGGCACUGAAACACGGGCCAGACUCCUACGGGAGGGCAGCAGUGGGGAAGUCUUUGCACAAUGGGGGAAACCCGUGAUGCAGCGACGCCGCGUGAGCGAUGAAG